rnacentral:rRNA from 1 species
UAAGCCUGUGAAGGUGUGUCGUGAGGCAUGCUGGAGGUAUCAGAAGUGCGAAUGCUGACAUAAGUAACGAUAAAGCGGGUGAAAAGCCCGCUCGCCGGAAGACCAAGGGUUCCUGUCCAACGUUAAUCGGGGCAGGGUGAGUCGACCCCUAAGGCGAGGCCGAAAGGCGUAGUCGAUGGGAAACGGGUUAAUAUUCCCGUACUUGGUGUUACUGCGAAGGGGGGACGGAGAAGGCUAUGUUGGCCGGGCGACGGUUGUCCCGGUUUAAGCGUGUAGGUGUGUGUUCCAGGUAAAUCCGGUUCACUUUAACACUGAGGCGUGACGACGAGGCACUACGGUGCUGAAGCAACAAAUGCCCUGCUUCCAGGAAAAGCCUCUAAGCAUCAGGUAACAUCAAAUCGUACCCCAAACCGACACAGGUGGUCAGGUAGAGAAUACCAAGGCGCUUGAGAGAACUCGGGUGAAGGAACUAGGCAAAAUGGUGCCGUAACUUCGGGAGAAGGCACGCUGACACGUAGGUGAAGUGAUUUACUCAUGGAGCUGAAGUCAGUCGAAGAUACCAGCUGGCUGCAACUGUUUAUUAAAAACACAGCACUGUGCAAACACGAAAGUGGACGUAUACGGUGUGACGCCUGCCCGGUGCCGGAAGGUUAAUUGAUGGGGUCAGCGCAAGCGAAGCUCCUGAUCGAAGCCCCGGUAAACGGCGGCCGUAACUAUAACGGUCCUAAGGUAGCGAAAUUCCUUGUCGGGUAAGUUCCGACCUGCACGAAUGGCGUAAUGAUGGCCAGGCUGUCUCCACCCGAGACUCAGUGAAAUUGAACUCGCUGUGAAGAUGCAGUGUACCCGCGGCAAGACGGAAAGACCCCGUGAACCUUUACUAUAGCUUGACACUGAACAUUGAGCCUUGAUGUGUAGGAUAGGUGGGAGGCUUUGAAGUGUGGACGCCAGUCUGCAUGGAGCCGACCUUGAAAUACCACCCUUUAAUGUUUGAUGUUCUAACGUGGACCCGUGAUCCGGGUUGCGGACAGUGUCUGGUGGGUAGUUUGACUGGGGCGGUCUCCUCCUAAAGAGUAACGGAGGAGCACGAAGGUUGGCUAAUCCUGGUCGGACAUCAGGAGGUUAGUGCAAUGGCAUAAGCCAGCUUGACUGCGAGCGUGACGGCGCGAGCAGGUGCGAAAGCAGG